rnacentral:rRNA from 1 species
UGCAGUCGAACGGUAACAGGAAGCAGCUUGCUGUUUCGCUGACGAGUGGCGGACGGGUGAGUAAUGUCUGGGAAACUGCCUGAUGGAGGGGGAUAACUACUGGAAACGGUAGCUAAUACCGCAUAACGUCGCAAGACCAAAGAGGGGGACCUUCGGGCCUCUUGCCAUCGGAUGUGCCCAGAUGGGAUUAGCUAGUAGGUGGGGUAA